UACGUAGGGCGCAAGCGUUGUCCGGAAUUAUUGGGCGUAAAGAGCUCGUAGGUGGUCUGUUACGUCUGCUGUGAAAACCCUGGGCUUAACCCUGGGCCUGCAGUGGAUACGGGCAGACUAGAGGUAGGUAGGGGAGAAUGGAAUUCCCGGUGUAGCGGUGAAAUGCGUAGAGAUCCGGAGGAACACCAAAGGCGAAGGCAGUGUCCUGGGGAGUACCUGACGCUCAGGUGCGAAAGCCAGGGGAGCGAACGGG
rnacentral:rRNA from 1 species